rnacentral:rRNA from 1 species
GAUGAACGCUGGCGGCGUGCCUAAUACAUGCAAGUAGAACGCUGAGGGAAGGAGCUUGCUCUUUCCGGAUGAGUUGCGAACGGGUGAGUAACGCGUAGGUAACCUGCCUGGUAGCGGGGGAUAACUAUUGGAAACGAUAGCUAAUACCGCAUAACAGUAGAUGUUGCAUGACAACUAUUUGAAAGGGGCAAUUGCUCCACUACCAGAUGGACCUGCGUUGUAUUAGCUAGUUGGUGAGGUAACGGCUCACCAAGGCGACGAUACAUAGCCGACCUGAGAGGGUGAUCGGCCACACUGGGACUGAGACACGGCCCAGACUCCUACGGGAGGCAGCAGUAGGGAAUCUUCGGCAAUGGACGGAAGUCUGACCGAGCAACGCCGCGUGAGUGAAGAAGGUUUUCGGAUCGUAAAGCUCUGUUGUAAGAGAAGAACGAGUGUGAGAGUGGAAAGUUCACACUGUGACGGUAUCUUACCAGAAAGGGACGGCUAACUACGUG